rnacentral:rRNA from 1 species
GACGAACGCUGGCGGCGUGCUUAACACAUGCAAGUCGAACGGGGUUAAGGAGCUUGCUUCUUAACUUAGUGGCGAACGGGUGAGUAACGCGUGAGGAACCUGCCUUUCAGUGGGGGACAACAGUUGGAAACGACUGCUAAUACCGCAUAAAACCGUAGUACCGCAUGGUACAUCGGUCAAAGAUUUAUUGCUGAAAGAUGGCCUCGCGUCUGAUUAGCUAGUUGGUGGGGUAACGGCCCACCAAGGCGACGAUCAGUAGCCGGACUGAGAGGUUGACCGGCCACAUUGGGACUGAGAUACGGCCCAGACUCCUACGGGAGGCAGCAGUGGGGAAUAUUGGGCAAUGGGCGAAAGCCUGACCCAGCAACGCCGCGUGAAGGAAGAAGGCCUUCGGGUUGUAAACUUCUUUUACCAGGGACGAACACAAUGACGGUACCUGGAGAAAAAGCAACGGCUAACUACGUGCCAGCCGCCGCAGUAAUAC